ACGGCUCAGUAACACGUGGCUAACCUACCCUUGGGACGGGGACAACCCCGGGAAACUGGGGCUAAUCCCCGAUGGGUGAGGAGGCCUGGAAUGGUUCCUCGCCGAAAGGGCGCUGAAACCAUGCUUUUCAGCGUUGCCCAAGGACGGGGCCGCGGCCGAUCAGGUUGUUGGUGAGGUAACGGCUCACCAAGCCUUUGACCGGUACGGGCCGUGAGAGCGGGAGCCCGGAGAUGGGCACUGAGACAAGGGCCCAGGCCCUACGGGGCGCAGCAGGCGCGAAAACUCCGCAAUGUGCGAAAGCGUGACGGGGCUAUCUCGAGUGCCCUUCCGCUGAGGAUGGCUUUUCCACGGUGUAAGGAGCCGUGGGAAUAAGGAGAGGGCAAGACUGGUGCCAGCAGCCGCGGUAAUACCAGCUCUCCGAGUGGUAGGGAUGAUUAUUGGGCUUAAAGCGUCCGUAGCCGGCCCGGUAAGUCUCUCGUCAAAUCCAGCGACCUAAUCGUUGGACUGCGGGAGAUACUGUUGGGCUAGGGGGCGGGAGAAGCCGACGGUAUUCCCGGGGUAGGGGUGAAAUCCUAUAAUCCCGGGAGGACCACCAGUGGCGAAGGCGGUCGGCUAGAACGCGCUCGACGGUGAUGGACGAAAGCUGGGGGAGCGAACCGGAUUAGAUACCCGGGUAGUCCCAGCUGUAAACGAUGCGGGCUAGGUGUUGGGGGGGCUACGAGCCUCUUCAGUGCCGCAGCGAAGGCAUUAAGCCUGCCGCCUGGGGAGUACGGCCGCAAGGCUGAAACUUAAAGGAAUUGGCGGGGGAGCACCACAAGGGGUGAAGCUUGCGU
rnacentral:rRNA from 1 species